AGAUGUUCCCAGGACGCGAGCUAAGUCCGCCCGGCCGGCGCGCGCCGCUUCCGCUUUAGUGGGAAGGACCUCCUUUCCUCCUUACAGAAACACUUUCUCCAGGUCGGGCCGCGCUUGGUAAACUUCAGCCGUGCCUAGGUACAGGACGCCGGGCUAGGCCGAGCGGGGGUGGAAUGAGGGCGUCUGGAACAGAGAAAACUAAGUAGGAUGGGGUCGUCCCGCCAGUAAUCUGGAAAACAGUGAUAGGAACAGGCUCCUCUCAUCAGACGGCAGUGCUGGCCGUUUCCUCACUGCUUUGUGGGGAAGGCUGGGCAGAAAAAGGAUACGACCUUGUUCUCAACCACUUGCUAUCUCGUGAUUCAGGGAUUGGAUGAGUCUCUAUGGUUUGUUUUGCCCUGAAGAGCAGAAGGCUUCUGUCCCAACUGGUGUUGCCAAAGCAACAUAUUAAUUCCAUGCCAUGAUCCUGGGUCAAGAUCUGCACAAUCUGAUUGGGCAUAUCACCUCGGAUGGUAAGGGAGUGGAAGUGGUCAAAAUCAUGGAGUCCCAGCUUUCGGAGACGCCUUGCAGCUGCCCGGUAACACUUCCAGGGUUGGGGCUCCACAAGAAGGUAGCGGCAGAGGGAGGAAAGAUGGGCCAGGAACUCCCACAGGCCAUGGUCUCCAUGAUUCAGAUGAAUCCACAUGGUUAUUGACAUGCAGAAGCCAAUGUCAAAAACUGAACGUCCAAAUUGGCUUAAGAAAGAGCUUAAGAGAACCUUCCGGGUCCUUUGGUUCAUGAAGUCCAGGGUGAUAAAGGUCAAGGCAUCAGGAAAAGGACAUUCUUUUUCAGCUCGCUUCACCAGGACUGGAUCUAUGUCGCAGCAGAGGAGACGGAAUUCUCUUGAGGCAUCUGAGCAGGUCUUCCCGUCAGGUAGGGAGAGGAAGUGUUUGUAUAGAGCCACACUCAGAUCCUAGAGGAAUCCAAAACAGCUCUGUCACUGCAGUUCUCAAUCAGUGAAUGGAAGAGAAAUUUGUAUCAUUCUCCCACUGAGAAUGCCACUUACCUCUGGCUGUAUAGGAUGUGAGGUUCCUAAACCAUAACCUAAAGAGGCUGUGCAAAAAUUUCCCACAGAGUAGGCUCUCAGUACCCUCCAGGGGUCACAUGCUGUAAUGCAUCAUCCCCAUAUUUUCCUGACACUGAUGAUAGAUUGGGUUGUAUAGCUGAAAGUUACAGCCAAAUGGAUGCAGCAAAGGAGCCUACAGCAGUAUUUCCCAGCUUAAGUAAUAUGCUGAUAAACUCACUCUUUUUCUGGGUAUCUCAAGACCCCAGGGAGGAGGAAAGGGGUCCAGAGGCAUAACCAGCGUCUCUUACCACCAGGAAAGUGACGAAUACAGCAAGCACCAUCUUAUAAAAACCUGCUUCUCAGACCCGCAGUGGGGGAAGUCUGGAUUCCAAAGUCCUCAUUCAGCCUUCACUAUAGCUUCAAUUUUACUGUCUUAGGAUUCACCACCUCCUUCUGAGACAUUCUGCUUCUAUAACCAUCAUUGCUAAAAGUCACUGCUAACAACCUUCUAGACAAGUCCAAUGAUUUGUGAUUUUUACCACAUUAGCACCUUUUUUACUCUUAAGUCACCAUCUCCUUUCUCUAACUUUGAAUUCUUUUUUUUUUUUUGAGACAAAGUCUGGUUCUGUCGGCCAGGCUGGAGUGCAAUGGUGUGAUCUCAGCAACCUCUGCCUCCCAGGUUCAAGCGAUUCUCCUGCCUCAGCCUCCUAAGUAGCUGGGAUUACAAGCACCACACUCAGCUAAUUUUUGUAUUUUUAGUAGAGACAGGGUUUCACCAUGUUGGCCAGGCUGGUCUUUAACUGACCUCAAGUGAUCUACCUGCCUCGGCCUCCCAAAGUGCUGGGACUAUAGGAAUGAGCCACUGCACCUGACCUCUUUGAUUUCUAUAACCAUUAUAACUAACUGAAAUUUGUUUUUCCACAUAGUAUUUUCAAGGCAUUUUUCUGUUUACUACUUUAUUUGCUUGGUGUAACAAGCAUGUGAGGAAAAUAUUUAUUUAUGCCUUUUGUGCAGGUGAAGAAAAUGCACAAUGGAAACCACCCAGAUGUCCAAUGAUAGUGGCAUGGACAAAUAAAUGUGGUAUAAUCAUGAAGAUAGAAUACUAAAUAGCAGUAAAAAAUGAAGGCACCCAGCUUGGUGCACAACAUGGAUGAUUCUCACAAAUACAUAAUGUUGAGAAAAAAAGCAAGCCAUAACAGAAAAUAUAUGACAAGCAUCCAUUUACAUGAAGCUCGAAAAUGGGUGAAAUUAAAGUACAUCGUUCAGGGAAGAAAAACAGUACACUAUAAAGAAAAGCAAGGAAACAACAGAAGGCUAGUUGUUACCUCUGGGUAGAGAUAGACGUUUAUGAACAGGAAAAGGCAUAUAGGGGAAGUUGUGGGAUGCUGAAAAUGUUUAUUUUUUAUUUAUUUAUUUAUUUAUUUUUGAGACAGGGUCUUACUCUGUUUCCCAGGCUGGAGUACGUGGCGUGAUCACUGCAGCCUUGACUUCCCAGGCUCCAGAGAUCCUCCUACUUCAGCCUUAUGAGUAGCUGGAACCACGGGUGCACACCACCAUGCCCAGCUAAUUUUUGUAUUUUUGGUAGGGAUGAGAUUUUGCCAUGUUGCCCAGGCUGAUCUCGAACUCCUGAGCUCAAGCAAUCCACCAGCGUCAGCCUCUGAAAAUGUUGGGAUUACAGGCAUCAGCCACUGCGCCCAGCAGUCUUUUGGGUUUUUUGUUGUUGUUUUAUUUGAGACAAGGUCACUUUGUCACCCAGGCUGGGGUAUGUGGCACAAUUAAGGCUCACUGCAGCCUCGACCUCCUGGGUUCAAGCGAUCCUCCUCCCUCAGCUCUCUAAGUAGCUGGGACUACAGAUGCCCACCACCACACCUGGCUAAUUUUUUUUAGAGAUGGGGUUUUGCCAUGUUGCCCAGGCUGGGAAAGGAGUUUUUAAAACUGAAAAAAAAAAAGCACUCAUAAAUUAUGGUACAUCUAUCCAAUGAAACAUUAGGAAGCUGCUAAAAAAAGAAUGCGGUGAUAUAAUCUCAGAAUUAAAAGCUACUAAUAGUGUGUUACCAUUUGUAAAACUAGAAGGGGGGUACUUAUAUGUACAUAAAUGCUGGUAUACACACAGGACUGAUACCUAAUAAAUUAUAAACAGUAGUGCCACUAUGUGGGGGAAAAGGAGGAUUUAGGGUUGGGAGUAGAGACUUACUUUUGACUAUAUACCCCUUUGUAGUUUGAAUUUUUUUGUUUUAUCAAGCGCAAGCAUUUUUUUCCCUUUUCUGACUACAAAGAUCCACAAGAAAAAGCAUUUUUUAAAAACUGCAAAACAGAAAGCUCCAUAAACGUACAGCCAAGUUUGGGAACCACUACCCUAGUUAGCUGCCAACUAUGUCUUUGCCUCUCGUGUAUACUACUCUCAACUUUAAAAUCUCUGGUGGUUUCCUAAUGCCUUUUGUGAAAUCCCAAUCCUUAACCUCAGUCUCUCUUUUCCAUUGUUUUUACCCUCUGACUUCCCGUAUCAUCACAGCGGAGAAAUUUUGCAGGUGACACCGGACAUCAACCCAUCUCCUCAUUCCAGUCUUUGAGACUAUCCAAAUGUCCCCUUCCUACUUAUCAGCUGAGUCCCACAAGGUCUGAAAUCGUCCCCCAAAGUCUCUUCUGUGAAAGGACAGCAACACAACAGAAUUGUCCCCCACCCUCCAGAUGCUGGACUGGAGUGAUGGAGGGAGCGCACAGAGGGUACUAACUUUUGAAGCAUUUGCCAUGUAGAGACGGGGUUUCACCGUGUUAGCCAGGAUGGUCUCGAUCUCCUGACCUUGUGAUCCACCCACCUCGGCCUCCCAAAGUGCUGGGAUUACAGGCGUGAGCCACCGCGCCCGGCCGCUCUUCUACCUACAGGUCACAAUACCGGGAAGCUUGUACAGCUGACAUCCUGGCCCAUGGUGCAGCCCAUCCUACCCUCCUGUCCCUCUCUGAUCACACCUCAGAGCCUUUGCUCAGCUGCUGCUUGCCUAUCUCACUCACUGCUUCCAAGGUCCUGCUUUGACCUCAUUUUCAGAUGAAGAAACUGAGACCCAGGAGGUAAAGACAAUUUCUCCAAAGAUAGGGCUGAAUUAUUCAGGGUAGGCUAAGUGCUAUAACAAGCAAUCCCCAAAUCUCGGUGACUUACUCAUCCAGUAUCAUGGUUCAAUGUGGGUCACUGGGAGAGUGGGAGAGGGCACUCUGUUUCUCAAAGACUUCAUGGGCCCAUCUAGAAGCUCUGCCUUUUCUAUGAGACUGAGUCCUCCAGUGAGUCCUCUGAAAAUCCUCUGAACCUGGCUGCAGAUGAGGGAGAAGAGAGCCUAGAGAAUCUCAAGGGAAGAUUUGGGGCCAGAUCCAGAAGGGGCAUUCCUAACUCUUCCUAACACAUUCCAUGAGUUGGCCAGAACUCGGUCUCGCAGUCCACCUGGAUGCAAGAACGGUGGGCUAGCAGUGUGUCCAGGAAGAAGAAAACACGGGUUUGUGAGAAAACGAACUAGUUUAUGUCUGGGAAAAACAGGAGAGGAGAAAGGCAGUGAAUAUUUGUGAAAUAUUGACCAGCCAAUUGGCACUGGACUUUAUACAUUAUUUCAUUUAAUCUGGUCUAGACUUUGUGUUGUCCUUAUUCCCGUGACAUUUUUUCCCGUGGUAUUUUUUUUUUUUAACCUCAAUCCCAUAUGGAAGGUAAAAUGGAAACAAGGGUAUUUCUCAUCCUCCAUUUCUCUCCCAAGAUACGUUUUAGACCUCAAGGGUCUCAUUAAGCCAACAAUCUGUCUUCCCUAAUUACUGAGAAGAGGAUCUUUUGGUCAGGUAUUCUCUAGCCUAUCCUCCACAAUAUAAACCAUUUUCUUGUCCCCUUUGAAAUCCCACAGGUCCUGCAGGUGAUUAACAGCUAAUCUUAUCAGCUAUUUUCAGAAUCUCUCCCCUUUAUCUUCUGACAUAAACUAUUUUCAUUGUAUCAAUUAGAGUUCUUGGUUGCAAGCAACAGAAAUUGGCUCUGGUUGAUAAACAGAAAAGAAAUUUGUUGAAAGGAUAUAUAAGAAUUCACAGAUUGUAAAAGGAAAACAGGAGAACUAGGCUUGAAAAGGGCAUAAGAGACUUCCAGUUAAAGGUGGGUGGAUUAAGCCAUAUGUCCUUUAGCCCCUUUUUUAUUUCUCCCAUCCUGCUGCCUGAAACUUGGCUAUAAUGGUUGCAUCUCCAGCAGCUAUUUUGUGAGCAUGAGUAAUCAUGGCAGACAGAAGCAAAUACUAAGGAUAGUGGAUUAAAACAUAGAAGGAACCUGGGUACUGAUGACCAUGAAGCCAUCAUACCAGUACUGGACUACCUUCCUCCAGAAGAACAGACAACAAAAAAUGGAUUAAGGCACAAGACCACCAGCCUGUGAUGGCUCAACCUGUGUUCUUCUGCUUGAUUGAUGGAGACCCAGAAUUCCAUAGGAAUUUGCAAUGGCUUUGCACUGAGUUGAAAUUAUGACUGCAAAACACUGGUUACUAUUACAGAAAAAGCCCAGACGAAGAAGUAAUCAAAGGCUACGGUCUUUUCAGGAAAAGUAGAAGUUUUUGCCUGCAAUGAAAAGAUGAAUGGAUUAUAAAUGCUGGCAAUAGGCUCACUGAGUGAGAACUAUUCAGAACAAUCAUUAAUGGAGGUGCUGGCAUUAAGAAAAUUCUGAGCCCAGGAUGUUACUGAGUAGGACAAAGAUUUUACAUGAAGAAUCCUGGGAAUGGAAAGUAUUAUUCUUUUAAAUAUUUUUUAAUUUUUAAUUAUUAUGGAUACAGAAUAGUCAUGUAUAUUUAUGGGGUACAUGUGAUGUUUUGAUUCAGGUAUACAGUGUGUAAUAAUCCAAUCAGAAUAAUUGAGAUCCAUCA